UUCUACCUCCCACCGCCGCUCCUCCCCUCCCCCAUACACCCACUCAUCCUUUUCCGUCGUGACGCAUUCACCAAUGAAACUUCAUCUGUCUGACCACAUAAAGACCAUUGGUGCCUCCUGGUCAAACCACAGCUGAGGCUCUGAAUACGCAGGCCAACAGUGGACAGCAAUGAAGAAGAUUAAUCUACCAACUGUUCUGCUAACUGUGGUCAUGCUCUUUCAAGCGGAAGUGACGUCCAUGUUUACUCGAGAGCAGCGGCCUUCAAGUCUAAAAGUUACGAACGAAUGCCAUGGAAACGCUCAGGGCUUGGCGAGAAACUGAGUGUAGUAACCAAUGACUUUCAGACUGUUUGACAAAAGAGAAGAAAGAAAAUAUGACCUGUCAAGAUCACUGGUUGUCUUCUUAACAUCAGAUGUCAGGGACCAGGAAGCUUCUUUCAAUUCUGACGACAAUCUCUUGGGAAGUAUCAUACAUCUUUUUGCCAAACGUCGGUAGCAUGAUGAUUAGCGUUGGUUCAGCAACAGAAUGGGGCGCAGUCUAGAAACAGAAGUCGCCCACCUCAGGAUUAACUGUAAUUAGAAACAAGAGCAGACCUCAUCUUGGUCAGCAGCUGCGGCUACAAAGGACUUACUAUGACUAUAGGUACUGGCAGAAAUAAAACAAACCUGUGGAUGUGGAUCUAAUUCUGCUUCAUAGCUAUGGCCCCUCAAGAGUUAAAAAAAAAACAAAAACCAGCAUUCCCAUCAUAUCCCAGACGGUCUGUAUAAUGAACACAUGGUUUUGGCCAAUGAAAAAUGUACGAACACGAAGUAUUCUUUGCAGUCAUCAAACGUACAUCGGCUCUCAACAUCGUGCUUGUUACGAAAACCUAGUUACAUUAAAGUAACCUGGUUCCCGAUACUUGAGUGUCUUCAGUUUUAUUUUGUCUUUUGCCAGCCCUGCUUUUGUUGUGUACAUGUGACUGAACGAACAGUAAAGGCGCGCAGUAAAGGUGUGAGUGCGUAGAUAAAUGAGUGUGUUGCUUCUAUACAUUCACUGCCACACGAAAUAGUACAAUUUUGCAGAUUAGCCAAGCAAGAGAAGUAAGCCUGUCCUUCAAAUCCAAACAUAUGUCGAGUGUUUUCUCCCCUUUUAUGUUUUGCCAUUCCAGACUCUGGCACUCAGCUUGUCAGAAAUAUAGUAGUUUUAAACCCUUAUAUCUUUCUUUCUGUCUUCUACGUUCUCAAUACCUAGACUGGUCCGAUCAUUAAAACUAUGGCAGUGAAACAGUGUGGGCUCUAAUCAUAACGAUCUGCAGGAACAUUUAGCUCGCAAAUGAACGACCAAUACAUUACAAAUUGAUACCUAAUGGAUUUCGCGUAACGAUGACUCAGAUUG